UAAGGAAGACGUGCCGGUCGGACAAAACCCGGAACGGGAAGGUGGGGAGUGACGUCAAGUCAUCAUGGCCCUUACGGCCUGGGCUACACACGUGCUACAAUGGUCGGUACAAAGGGUUGCCAAGCCGCGAGGUGGAGCUAAUCCCAUAAACCGAUCGUAGUCCGGAUCGCAGUCUGCAACUCGACUGCGUGAAGUCGGAAUCGCUAGUAAUCGUGAAUCAGAAUGUCCACGGUCGAAUACGUUCCGGCCUU
rnacentral:rRNA from 1 species